GGCCCCGUAGCUCAGCUGGAUAGAGCAGGUUCCUCCUAAGGACAAGGUCGGCGGUUCGACUCCGCCCGGGGCCG
rnacentral:tRNA from 2 species